rnacentral:tRNA from 1 species
AGCCCAAUCGUCAAGUGGUAAGACAUAUUGUUUUCAUCAUUACAUCGGGGGUUCGAAUCCCCUUUGGGCCA